rnacentral:rRNA from 1 species
GACGAACGCUGGCGGCGUGCCUAAUACAUGCAAGUUGAGCGAUGAAGAUUGGUGCUUGCACCAAUUUGAAGAGCAGCGAACAGGUGAGUAACGCGUGGGGAAUCUGCCUUUGAGCGGGGGACAACAUUUGGAAACGAAUGCUAAUACCGCAUAACAACUUUAAACAUAAGUUUUAAGUUUGAAAGAUGCAAUUGCAUCACUCAAAGAUGAUCCCGCGUUGUAUUAGCUAGUUGGUGAGGUAAAGGCUCACCAAGGCGAUGAUACAUAGCCGACCUGAGAGGGUGAUCGGCCACAUUGGGACUGAGACACGGCCCAAACUCCUACGGGAGGCAGCAGUAGGGAAUCUUCGGCAAUGGACGAAAGUCUGACCGAGCAACGCCGCGUGAGUGAAGAAGGUUUUCGGAUCGUAAAACUCUGUUGGUAGAGAAGAACGUUGGUGAGAGUGGAAAGCUCAUCAAGUGACGGUAACUACCCAGAAAGGGACGGCUAACUACGUG